rnacentral:RNase_P_RNA from 1 species
GGAGCAAGCCAAGGCGGUUGCCUCUCCGCGGGAAGCGGAGGGGAGGAAAGUCCGAGCUCCAAAGGAUCAUGCACCCUGUUAAUGCAGGGCCUUUGUCCUGUCACCUCGCGGUGCCAGGGCUACGGGAUCAGAGCUACAGUGACGAUACUUCGACUCGGCCAACAUGUUGGCCUCGCUCAGUAUAAAUUCCUUGUAAGAGGGUUUACCCUGAGCGACGAGCGCAGCGAGGAGUCGAGGGGUGAAACGAGCAAUCUCUGCAUGGAGCAAGGCCAAAUAGGGAAAGAUCCUCCGGUCAAACGGCGGAACGAAGCGGAUCCGCUUCGUCACAUUUCCGGGUUGGCUGCAAGAGUCCGGCCGGCAAGGCCCCGCGGGUUUUCGUCCGUGGGGGGAGCAAUCCCCGGGGUGAGUGGAAUAACCGCCGUCCGGCGCGUUCAUGCAAAUGAACCGCCUGGAUGACAGAACUCGGCUUAUUGGCUUGCUCGUUCU